rnacentral:rRNA from 1 species
AUUGAACGCUGGCGGCAGGCCUAACACAUGCAAGUCGAGCGGAUGACGGGAGCUUGCUCCUUGAUUCAGCGGCGGACGGGUGAGUAAUGCCUAGGAAUCUGCCUGGUAGUGGGGGACAACGUUUCGAAAGGAACGCUAAUACCGCAUACGUCCUACGGGAGAAAGCAGGGGACCUUCGGGCCUUGCGCUAUCAGAUGAGCCUAGGUCGGAUUAGCUAGUAGGUGAGGUAAUGGCUCACCUAGGCGACGAUCCGUAACUGGUCUGAGAGGAUGAUCAGUCACACUGGAACUGAGGCACGGUCCAGACUCCUACGGGAGGCAGCAGUGGGGAAUAUUGGACGAUGGGCGAAAGCCUGAUCCAGCCAUGCCGCGUGUGUGAAGAAGGUCUUCGGAUUGUAAAGCACUUUAAGUUGGGAGGAAGGGCAGUAAGCUAAUACCUUGCUGUUUUGACGUUACCGACAGAAUAAGCACCGGCUAACUCUGUGCCAGCAGCCGCGGUAAUAC